rnacentral:rRNA from 1 species
GACGAACGCUGGCGGCGUGCUUAACACAUGCAAGUCGAACGGAAAGGCCCUGCUUUUGUGGGGUGCUCGAGUGGCGAACGGGUGAGUAACACAUGAGUAACCUGCCCUUGACUUUGGGAUAACUUCAGGAAACUGGGGCUAAUACCGGAUAGGAGCUCCUGCUGCAUGGUGGGGGUUGGAAAGUUUCGGCGGUUGGGGUUGGACUCGCGGCUUAUCAGCUUGUUGGUGGGGUAGUGGCUUACCAAGGCUUUGACGGGUAGCCGGCCUGAGAGGGUGACCGGCCACAUUGGGACUGAGAUACGGCCCAGACUCCUACGGGAGGCAGCAGUGGGGAAUAUUGCACAAUGGGCGGAAGCCUGAUGCAGCAACGCCGCGUGCGGGAUGACGGCCUUCGGGUUGUAAACCGCUUUCGCCUGUGACGAAGCGUGAGUGACGGUAAUGGGUAAAGAAGCACCGGCUAACUACGUG